ACACUUUUGCCUGUGUUCAUUUUCAUUCAAAAUCUAAAAACACACGGCCUCACUUUCUCAAUUUCCAUUUUUGAUCCCGCGACACCGUACGGCCAUACCCGCGACUCCCUACCGCCGACGUCGUCUUCACACCAUUUCUACCUCCGACCACCGGCGUCUUCACCAUUCAUACCUCCAACCGCCGUCCUCUUCGCCUAUUAUACCUCCGACCGCCUCCGUCUUCAGUGUUCCUACCUCCGACCAUCGUCAUCAUCACCAUUCCUACCUGCUAUCGUCAUCAGCUCCAUUUCAGUACAUCAAGGAAGUAGGGUUUUGGUUGAGAGGAUUGGGGAAUUAAUUAUGUGAUGAUGAUGAUGUUAGGAUUUAUAAGUGGCAACGAGAGAGUGUUUUGGGGAGGAUUGUUGGUUAUAUUUGGGUCGACUUUCUUUGGUGGGUUUCUUUAUAUCAAAACUAGUCCCUCAUUCGGAUAUUAUCUUUGCAAUACAAAAUGACAGGUAUGGUAUGGCUACCAUGUCAUGUUUUUUGUUUAAAAACAAUUAAAUCCCAAGGUUCGGUUUCUGAUGAUGCAACACAACAGGCAUUAUUGCUUCUUGGUGCCUUUGACACUUCCGGUGCUUCUGGUUGCUGUAUACUUGUACUGGCUUAGCAUGAAAAUGUUUAAGCAUGCAUGACUACUGACCUACUCUAAUUUCCCAUCAUACUGCGUUACUAAUGUCAAUGAAACAAAAUCAACAGUUUUUUUUUUUUGUGGUCACCAAAAAAGGAUAAGAGUAAAUUGCAAAAAUUGUCUAAGAGUAGGUUUAUUUUAAAUGUUUGGAUGUUGCAGCUGAAAUCCAAAAUAAUUGAUGUAUAUGGAUGUAGUCAAUAAUUUAGUAAACAAACAACAUUAGUUAAGAUAAGGCCAUGGUCAUGUGCCUUGCACAUGUUUGCUAUUUAGGGACCAGACAAGACAUUGCCAGAAAUAGUAGGCACUAGGCAGGCAGGGUUUAAACGUUUAAACUUGAGAAGUCAUCUACGGAAGUAUCUGAAAAUUACUGUUUGCAUGACAAUUGGUUGAUAAAUAGUUUGGGCUUUUGUCAAUAUAAUAGAAUGAUACUGCUUUAAAGGAUUGGCGGAUACCAAUAUUUUGAAUGCACAAUCUAUAUAUUAGCCCUGUAAUGUUAAAUUAAA